CAUUUUGGGGUUUGGGUUUUAAAAGGAUUGAUUAUGUUUUUGCUUAGAUUACAUGGUUGAGGUCAGUGUGGCUGAGGGCUGCUGAAUCCAUAGUAGCAUCACCUAAUUUAGUAUUGUUACAUUGUGCAUUUAGAGUUGAUUUUGAGAAGAAGACAGGUUGAGUUUGACCAAUGAACACAACAAGAUCCCCUCUUCUACUUGAAAUUACUAAAAUAAGGGGAGCAUCUUUAUCUAGAUGAGUAGGGCUGUACCUAGUAGUGUUGCCUUGAGCAUUUUCUCUGUGUUGGAUAAAGUCCGUCCAAUUUUGAGAAGUAAAUGAUUUUGUGCACUAAUUUGUUAAUCCUUGUUCGAAUGAGUGUGGCUACUGGCUAAAUUUUCCUAGUUUCUUUCUCAGCUCUCAGAGUGUGAUCUGUUCGAUUGGAAAAUGGUUAGAAAAUAGUAUGUGCUUCUCCUUGGUGAAAUCUGAUUUUUUUCACUAUCUUUCUGCAUCGAUAGAUGUUUAGGCCAAUCUGAUCAAAUUCUGGAAUGCUUAAUUGCAUAGCUAGUGAAAUAACCACACCAGCCGGUGAAUAUGGAUUACAAGACCUAUUAAUACACCAAACAGUUAAAAGGUUGGGAAAAUGAAUUUAUGCUGCUUCUAAACAAGACCAAGUGCAUUUCUUAUAUUUCCGUCUUUUACUCUCUCUCUUUGAUCUGUUUCUGGAAGUAAAGUUAAUUAAGGCUUUCUUGUGACUUUUGUUUCACUGGUAGGUUUCAUGAUAUAGUUUAAAUAAAUUUGGAAGCCUUUAUCAAGAUUAAAGAAAUACAUAGGCCCUGCAUGUUUCCGUGUCAUGUAAUCAUUGAUUUAUAUCAUGUCUGAAAAACAUACGCACUUUUAACCAACUGGAUGAUGAAGUUCCUUCCAGUGUAUACUAAGUAGGUCCUAAAUGGUAAGGCCACAUGAUUUACAGUGUGGAGAGUUACAAUGGUCUCUUGAUAUUUUCUCUGUGCUAAAUGUGGAUUUUGUUGAUGUUUUUUCGGUUGAGUGGGAUUUACUUAUUAGAGCAAUAAUACUAGCAAAUAACUGAUAAAAAUUUGUUCAAAGUGUUGUGUUAAUUUAGUCCAUUGUGUAUGGAUUUGGAAUUCAUAUUGUUUGGAUUUUGUCCUUGUUGCAUUGUAACUUUGUUUACAUGCAGUCCAAACGAUUGAUGGGGAAAUAGAUAAACAAAUUUCUGUUUGGAGAAAGCACAGAGCAGUGUUGUGCCACUUUUUCUUAUGCUAGCCUUUAUGCGCAAGGUCAAAUGAGCUCUUUGUGCUAAGCCAGGCCACUUAUCACAUUCACAACGAGUUUAUGAGGCCAGAAUCGGUCCACCCACCCAGAGCUCAAAUGCAUUUCCACUCCCCCCCCCCCGCGCCUAGUCAGGAGGUGGAUUUUCCAGGAUAUUUGCAUCUCUACUUCUGACCAAAUAAGUGGUAGCAUUUACUCAUCUGGCCUUGUUAGCAUUGGAAUUGGUGCUAUGCCCCAGACACUGGAAAUUGGCUCUGACGAUAUAGAACAUGUUAGAUCCCAGAUUCCCAUACAAGUUCCUUCAUCUCACAUUUCAAUUGGCGAUGGUCCACAAACUCCGAAAACGACAUCAUUCCUUCAGUCUCUCAUGCUUUGGCCAGCUACUGAUGGAACCUUCCAGUUAUGCAAAAGAACCUGGAAAUGCUGCACAUCCUACUAAUGCAGCUCUGUCUUCCGAGCAUCCUAGGACAAAAGCCACUUAUAACCUUUGGUGAUGCAUUAGAUAUGUACCAUACCAUCUCAGAGAAGGAGUUGAGGAGGAGCUAACUUCUAAAGGGGUUAUUAGUGUAGACUUCAUUUUUCUCAAGGGUUGAUCUGCAAACUUAGUUGUUGCUUACUAACUUCUGGAGUCCUAGGUUUCCCAUGCUUCAAAUAAGUGAUAACAGUGUUAUUUGUUGUCCGAUUUCUUGAGUUAAGGAGAGAGAACUAUUCCGGUUUUGAAAAAUUAAUUGAAAAAGUCAUAGGGCCGAUCGACUGAAUGAGAGCUUUAUGAGUUGCAAUCUUGUUGAUAUUGGUGCAUAAAAAUGAUUUAAGCAAUAGGAAUAAAAGCCUCGUAUACAAAUUAUCACAUGCCUGACCCUGCAUAAACCCUUAGUGAGCCAGUUUGAGCCCAAAAGCCUAAUUUCUUUGUUAAAAAUUUUGAAAUUACUAUAUCAGCUUACCUAUUAUAUCCAUUUGUUGGCCUAUAUUUUCUUCCCUAGUCACCAAAAUUAAAGUGCUAGCACAUCCUUGAGAGUGAAAAGUUGUCACUUCAAACGAAAAUAGAAUAAAAAGACAACCUUUCGUGUGUAAAAAAAGCCAAGGCUAGGAAAAAAAAAAGAAAAAAGGCAUCCUUUCAUGAGUAAAAAAAAGCCAAGGCUAGAAAAAAACCACGUUCUACUUUGUUGAGAGCUCUACUUUACUGUUGAUCAAGUUCCAGAGAUGUCCGUUGUUCUUCAAUAACCAUGUUCGAGCCUUGUUUCCAUUCAAUAUACAUCCAACACAUGUUAUCCCAGCUAGCCAUAUUCUUGCCAAGUCUCUUUUCUCAGCCCUCUUACAAUCACUGCUCUUGAGGGCAAACAAAAUCAAACUCAGGGGAGAAAGCUUUGGUUCUGCUUUCGGAUAGAAGUGUAGUGACAGUUCCCACACAAGACCUUCUACCAACCAAUCCUUGGAUACUUGACUAAGUUGAUGAUCUUCCACAACUAAGUUAUUUGAGCAUUUAGUUCUUCACAAUCUUCAAUAUAGAUAUUUACAAGAUAGUUUGAAUAGAAUGGCAGGCCCUGGAUUUUUGUCCGUCAAUCCAUUUAAAAAUGUCUAGCUAUAUGGGGAUGAUAAAGAAAGAAGCUUUUGGACACUCCUCAUGCUUAUGUUGUAGCUGAUGCGGUAUACAAUGCAAUGAUAGCAGAUGAAGUAAGCCUGGCUUUAAUUAUCAGUUUAAGCUUAAAAGGAUAAGAGAGUGGACGGAAGGGGCACAAAAUGAGGAAAUUGACUGAUAAGAAAGGAGGGAGGUGCAAAAAAAAAAGAAAGAAAAAAAGAAAAAAAAGAAAGGAGGUUCAAAAAAGAAAAAGAAAAAAAAGUAAGAUGGAGAUGCAUGCAAAAAAAGAAGAUAAAGCGUUGUUGGUGGAGAUGGAAUCAAGAACUGUUACAAGGGAGAAAAGGAGUUGAUAUAGGAGAGGAAUGAGGCUGACAUAGGGGGAACAAGAUGAGGAAGUUGCCUGACAAGAAAGAAGGAGAUGCAAAAAAGAAAAAAAGAAAGAAGGAGAUGCACGCAAAGAAAGAAGAUAAAGAUCUGAUGGAGGAGAUGAAAUUAACAACCUCAUGAACUAUUACAAGGGAGAAAAGGAGUUGAAGUAGGAGAGGAAUAGGCUGACAGUUCUGAACAUGCAAGGGAAGAAGAGAAAACUGCCCAGUCUAGGACAUGCUCCAGAUCCCAUGACGUGCAGAAGCUGACCAACACAAGGCAUCGAGGGCAACUAGGAUAACCAUGUUCGAGCCUUGUUUCCAUUCAAUAUACAUCCAACACAUGUUAUCCCAGCUAGCCAUAUUCUUGCCAAGUCUCUUUUCUCAGCCCUCUUACAAUCACUGCUCUUGAGGGCAAACAAAAUCAAACUCAGGGGAGAAAGCUUUGGUUCUGCUUUCGGAUAGAAGUGUAGUGACAGUUCCCACACAAGACCUUCUACCAACCAAUCCUUGGAUACUUGACUAAGUUGAUGAUCUUCCACAACUAAGUUAUUUGAGCAUUUAGUUCUUCACAAUCUUCAAUAUAGAUAUUUACAAGAUAGUUUGAAUAGAAUGGCAGGCCCUGGAUUUUUGUCCGUCAAUCCAUUUAAAAAUGUCUAGCUAUAUGGGGAUGAUAAAGAAAGAAGCUUUUGGACACUCCUCAUGCUUAUGUUGUAGCUGAUGCGGUAUACAAUGCAAUGAUAGCAGAUGAAGUAAGCCUGGCUUUAAUUAUCAGUUUAAGCUUAAAAGGAUAAGAGAGUGGACGGAAGGGGCACAAAAUGAGGAAAUUGACUGAUAAGAAAGGAGGGAGGUGCAAAAAAAAAAAAAGAAAGAAAAAAAGAAAAAAAAGAAAGGAGGUUCAAAAAAGAAAAAGAAAAAAAAGUAAGAUGGAGAUGCAUGCAAAAAAAGAAGAUAAAGCGUUGUUGGUGGAGAUGGAAUCAAGAACUGUUACAAGGGAGAAAAGGAGUUGAUAUAGGAGAGGAAUGAGGCUGACAUAGGGGGAACAAGAUGAGGAAGUUGCCUGACAAGAAAGAAGGAGAUGCAAAAAAGAAAAAAAGAAAGAAGGAGAUGCACGCAAAGAAAGAAGAUAAAGAUCUGAUGGAGGAGAUGAAAUUAACAACCUCAUGAACUAUUACAAGGGAGAAAAGGAGUUGAAGUAGGAGAGGAAUAGGCUGACAGUUCUGAACAUGCAAGGGAAGAAGAGAAAACUGCCCAGUCUAGGACAUGCUCCAGAUCCCAUGACGUGCAGAAGCUGACCAACACAAGGUAUGGUCAAUAUGCAAUAGGCAUCGAGGGCAACUAGGAUAACCAUGUUUGAGCCUUGUUUCCAUUCAAUGUACAUCCAACACAUGUUAUCCCAGCUAGCCAUAUUCUUGCCAAGUCUCUUUUCUCAGCCCUCUUACAAUCAUUGCUCUUGAGGGAAAAUAAAAUCAAACUCAGGGGAGAAGCUUUGGUUCUGCUUUCGGAUAGAAGUGUAGUGACAAUUCCCACACAAGACCUUCUACCAACCAAUCCUCGGAUACAUGACUAAGUUGAUGAUCUUCCACAACUAAGUUAUUUGAUCGAGCCUUUAGUUCUUCACAAUCUUCAGUAUAGAUAGCAUAACUAGUCGGCCUUACUACCAAAUCUGAGAAUGAAUGGAACUUUAGAUUCAAGUCACAUACAAGCUGAGCAUAAUACUCUAACAUCAUAAAAUAACUAUUCAGCAAAAACGGCCUAAAAUCGAACAAGACCCAUUUAACUACUCCAAGUUAACCCCGGUGCUCAAGCAAGACAAGAGGGAAAGGAUGGAGACUUAGCUCUGGCCGACGAAGGCGACAACGAGCCAGACGUCGGCGGGCUGAGCCUGCACUGAGUACCGAAAGGGGGGGAAUGACUUGGGUCGGCGUUGACCAAAUGCCGUAAAUCAUUACCGAACGGACGAUGCGGCUGCAGAGCCGGCAACAGAGGACGACGCGGCGGAAGAGACUAUCGCAGGCUGCAGGAUUGGGCCGACGGACUUGGGGAGUAUUUUAUGCCAGUGCAAUUUUCAUUGGGCCACUACAAAUAAAUUCCUUUUGGGCCAUGAAUUAAAUUUAGUUUCGGGCCUGCUUUUAAUUCCUCGGGCCGCAUUAAAUUUUAUUGGGCCGUAGUCUCUCUUAUUUGGAUUGGGCCGUGAUAAAAAAAAAGGAAAAAAAAAACUAGUCACGUUAACACCAUGUCCAAUAAAUGAUUAAAUUGGACUUAUUUUAAUUUUUAAGCAAAGUAAGUAUUUUUAAGUUAAUUAAGUAUAUAAAUCCAAGAGGAUUUAAAUUUGAAAAUGGACUUCUGAUAAUCAAGAGCCACUAAUUAAAACAUCAAAUUUGAUUUAUAGACCCUCCUAAUGUCUUGCCAAAAUUAAAUAAUGGAUAGCCGCUAUUUAAUUUCGCGGAAAUAAGAUUAAGAUGUUUAUAAUUUAAUCAGUGCACGAAUAAUACGGCGAAUGCCCAAAUAAUUAAAUCAUUUGAUUUAAUUAAUGAUUAAAGAUUUUAUGGAUUUAGGAAGAAAGGAAAUAAAGAUGAUCACAUGCUUAGGAAUGCAUACAUGCUAGAAAUAAUUACUGUAACAUCCCAAAAAUGACUCUAGACGAAUUCAUGGUUCAGGUUAAGGAAUCGACGACUCAGGGCUUUCGACGAAUAAAUCGAUAUUGAAAAUAAUGAUAAUCGAUAAAAUAUAGUUGAUAAUUUUUAUAAGGAUAAAAGGUGAUGAGAAUUAUUUAUUAGAAAUAAUAUAUGAGUUAUAUUAUAAAUAAGAUAAGGUUUGUGUUAAAAUUGUCUAUUUCGAAUUAUAUGUGGUUGAUUCGAUAACAAAAAAAGAGCCAAAUAAGUAACAAGGAUUAAGGAAUAAAGUAGCAUUUAAAGUAAGUAUUAGAAGUAUAGUGAGGGUGAGAAUGAGAAGAAAAUCGGAGUUGAAUCGGGAAUCAUAAAUAGAAUACGGUAGAAGGGCAAAAUCGUCUUUUCACAUGAAAUAAAAUAAAAUAUCUUGUUUAAAUCAUAGGGCACGAAAUUUCCAGCAUUUUGGACAUGUUUGACUUCAAAAUAUGCCUUAAAGUUAAUAGAAAAUUCUAGAUAAAAUAAAAUAACUAUGCAUGAUUUGAAGAAUGCCACUUGUACACCAAAAAUACCAUGAAAUUAAUUAAUAAUUUGGGACACUUUUAUAAACCAAAAAUAACACUAUUUAUCCUCAUUUUCAUCCCAAAAGUCGUGUCCUCCAUAUCCAAGGAGUUCCAAGUUUUCAUCUUCAAAUUUUAGCUCCGUUUCUCAAUGUAUUGAAUACCCGAUCGCGCAAUCGGUGUUAAAUCAAGCUACACCCAAAUGUUAGCAAAUGAAAGGAAAAAGGAUCGGCGAAAGAAGAAAUGUCGAAUGGAAAGGUUUGGAAAUAACGUCAUCCAGGUAGCAUGCUCAACACUUAAAUGGUCUAAUUCUCUUACGUGUUUUUCCGUGAUUAUUACGUGACUUAUUGUCUAAAUAAUUUAUGAUUAAUUAUGUGAUAAAAUAUUCAUGAAGUAAAAUAUAAGAAUAUGAUGGAUUGUUGAUUGAUUUGAUAAUGAAAUAUGUGAAAAGAGUAUACGUUGAGGAGAUGGAAAUAAAUGUGAUUAAAUGUGAUGAUGUCUGAUCUAUCUAUCUGUGAUGAGGUCUGAUUUGUCUGUCUGUGUUGAUGUAUUAUUAUUUUAGUAGAUUAUGAGUAAUUAUGUGAUAAAAGACUUAUGAAGUAAAACAUGAGAAUAUGAUGAAUUAUUGAAUGAUUUGGUACUGAAGUAUUAAAAUGGAAGAAUAUGAUUGUGACUGUAAAGAUGGUGAGAUGUAUACAAAUAAGAUUUACAUGUGAAAUAUGUCUGAUCGAUCUAUGAUGACGUCUGAUCUGUCUGUAUGGAUUUGUUAUGUUGGAAAUCGUUGAUGAUAAAGUAUACUUGUAUGUGCUUAUGCCCCGUGCUUGAGUGUGUUCUGUGGGUACAAUUGGCAUGCCAUAGGACAGCAGCGCUGCAUUAUUUGUGAUCUCUCGUCUUCUGGAUAACCGAAGCGAGGAUCGUCUGUUAUCUGAUCUGUCUGAUCUACACCCUAUGGGUGGUCUGUUCCCGGGAUUAUCUGUCUGUAUCCGAAAUGGAAGGUCUGAUUAUCUGUCUGCACUCUAAUUGGGUGGUCUGUGCGGAGUCCUCUCGAGGACAAAAUCCGCGUCUGUAUCUGAUUCUGAUUCUGAUUCUGAUUCUGAUCUGGUCCGCGUACCCUAGUAAGUCACUAAGCACAUUAAGGGGCCAUGUGUGAAAUUAUGUGAUAAUGUCGAUCGAAAUAUUCGUGAUGAUAUAUGUGACAAUGUGUAUGACAACAUAUGAGUUAUAAUAUGAGAUUAUGUGAAACAUCUUUGAUAUGAUAAUAUCUUAUACGUGAAAAUGGAUUUUGUUACAUGGUUCUGUUGAGUUUUAUUAUAAAUAUUGAAAAUCUGAGACUUGCAGAUGUAGUUUAUGACAUGUGAAGUUUUGUAUUAUUAUACCCCUCUGAUGACAUAGUUUGGAAAUUUGAAGUCGUGGACGAAGAUUUGACUACUGGUACGGGUUAAUUGGAUCGUGGAUUCCUUUGGAUAUUUCUUUCGUUUCUUCGCCAGCACUGCAUCCUCGGUGGGUCACUGAUCACUGCUUGCGGCGUUUGUGUCCAUUUAUGUUAGAUGUGGCAUGUAUAGUAUUUGAAUUUUUGUAAUAGCUUCCGCUGUGUUUGUAAAUAGUGUUGGAACUUUUGCUGAUAGGUUAAUGAAUUAAGUUUGGUUUUUAA